GUAUGCCAGUUUGCCAAUGGCAACAAAGUGUGGGAAUGGACCCCUCGCACUUCCUGCAAACUGAGUUCAGUGCACCUCACAUCCUGCAUGGCCCAAAUUCAGCACCAGCAGGAUAUUCAUUGGCCUGCUUUGUGUAUGUGUGACUGCAGCCGGAUACGAAUACCGUAGUCUAGCAAUACAUUCUACACCCUCCCAUUGGGGAGAACUCCCUCAUGAAGAGUAGAUGGAUUUGCAUUGAGUUAACAUGUAGGAGCUCAAACGUCGAGUGGUCUUCCACUGUAGUUCUAACAGGUCAGAAAUGUCCAAGUCUGGAUCACGGCAUACAGAUGGAUGCUUUUUAUUAUGCUGAUAUGUCUCCUUGCAUCUUAGCUACUCCCAGCAGGGCUGUGAGAAAGAUGUAAGUGGAGAAGCAAGGACACACCUGCCUCCUCCGUCCAUCCCUCCAGGAAUGGAAGAUCCUCCAUGAUGGCAGUGGAACCAUUUCCCGGUCAUGGGAGGAGAGAGGAAGCACAAGACAGCACCGUCGCCUGGCUGGACUCACAAUCGACUGAUGACAUGUGGCCGCUGAACAUCAGGGUGACUUCUAUCUUCCAGCCUGUGGCCUUCAUGACAGGAGGCUGUGUGUGCAGCCUCCUUCACAGAGAGGAGGAGGAGGAGGAGGAGGAGGAGAGACAGGCAGGGUCUGAGGAGCACUGACCCGUCUGCACUGUGCUGCCCCCUGUUGAAGGCUGCUGGCUGUUGUGAUGACGUCAGCACUGAGCUGCUGUUCUGACUGGAGCUUAUGAAAGCACGUGACAGCUGAACACAGUUUGUUUACUAAGUUUACAUCUCUGGAAGUAAACACACCUUUGAUUCUAACUAGCAGAUGUAGUAAUAAUAAUAAUAAUAAUGAUGAUGAUGAUGAUGAUGAUGAUGAUGAUGAUGAUAAUAAUAAUCUUAUAUACUCUGCAUGUGCAUUUAUGAGGAAAAACAUUCUUUAUUUUGCAAGCAUGUAAUAAAAUGAUCUUCAUGAUAUUGUGUGUAUUAAUUGAAAAGGCCUGUCCACUAAACUCAGUCAUAGCACGAGGACACAUGGACACGUGAGGGAUUGUUUAAUACGUUUGUCUCAUCUUGACUAAAUGUGAACAUAGUGGAAGCAUGAGAACAGAUGAUUCCUCCCUGCGCGCUGAUAUGAAGGCUGCUGUCUGGAACAAAGGCCUCUGCUCUCCUGGCACACAAGGGGUUAAGGUGCGCGAACGCCCGAGUUGGCGUUGGAGGUAUUUCACGCGCAGUGAUUAACGAUAUUGAUUGACGAAACAUGCGGAAUUGUAAUGUUUUACUACCAAGGAGGAACAAAGAGCCGGGCUCUCCUCCUCUAACUGAUCAGCAGUGGCGCUGAAAUAAUGUAAUUAACUACAGUAAAGGCUUUGCGCGCGGAACGACCCGAAUCAUUAACUACUAACUACUUGUUUUAAGAAAAUGAAAAGUGCCUGAAUCCACAAGCGCCUAAAUGAUGAUUGAGGUCGACAAAGCGCCUGCCCGCAAGAAAACAAGUCUGUCCAAAUGUGGCUCAGAAGAAAGGGGAGUCCGCUUUCAACCUGAUCACAAACUUGGUUUUGAAGGGAGAGUGCCCCGCCCUCCUGGUCCUUAUAACCAGAAAGCCUGUUUGCAGGACGCUCAAACAUAACAGGAACACCGGAGACCACAUCGACGUGCAUGAACCAGUCCUGGAGACGAACUCUGGCUACAAAGACUUUACGGAUUACGCUGGUUGUUUCGCCUUUUUGAUCGCAAG
rnacentral:lncRNA from 1 species